rnacentral:rRNA from 1 species
ACGGAAGGCAGCAGUGGGGAAUAUUGCACAAUGGGGGAAACCCUGAUGCAGCGACGCCGCGUGAGCGAAGAAGUAUUUCGGUAUGUAAAGCUCUAUCAGCAGGGAAGAAAAUGACGGUACCUGACUAAGAAGCCCCGGCUAACUACGUGCCAGCAGCCGCGGUAAUACGUAGGGGGCAAGCGUUAUCCGGAUUUACUGGGUGUAAAGGGAGCGUAGGCGGCACGACAAGUCAGAAGUGAAAUCCCAGGGCUCAACCCUGGAACUGCUUUUGAAACUGUCGAGCUAGAGUACAGGAGAGGUAAGCGGAAUUCCCAGUGUAGCGGUGAAAUGCGUAGAUAUUAGGAGGAACACCAGUGGCGAAGGCGGCUUACUGGACUGACACUGACGCUGAGGCACGAAAGCGUGGGGAGCAAACAGGAUUAGAUACCCUGGUA